AUUGAACGCUGGCGGCAUGCUUUACACAUGCAAGUCGAGCGGCAGCGCGGGGGCAACCCUGGCGGCGAGCGGCGGACGGGUGAGUAAUGCAUCGGAACGUAUCCCGUAGUGGGGGACAACCCAGCGAAAGUUGGGCUAAUACCGCAUACGCUCUACGGAGGAAAGUGGGGGACUUCGCAAGGAGCCUCACGCUAGGGGCGCGGCCGAUGUCCGAUUAGCUAGUUGGUGGGGAAUGGCUCACCAAGGCGACGAUCGGUAGCUGGUCUGAGAGGAUGAUCAGCCACACUGGGACUGAGACACGGCCCAGACUCCUACGGGAGGCAGCAGUAAGGAAUAUUGCGCAAUGGGCGAAAGCCUGACGCAGCGACGCCGCGUGGGGGAUGAAGGUCUUCGGAUUGUAAACCCCUUUCGGGAGGGAAGAUGGAACGAGCAAUCGUUCGGACGGUACCUCCAGAA
rnacentral:rRNA from 1 species